rnacentral:rRNA from 1 species
UACGGAGGAUCCGAGCGUUAUCCGGAUUUAUUGGGUUUAAAGGGUGCGUAGGCGGGAUGCCAAGUCAGCGGUCAAAUACGGGGGCUCAACCUGCGUCCGCCGUUGAAACUGGCAGACUUGAGUUGGCGAGAAGUACGCGGAAUGCGCGGUGUAGCGGUGAAAUGCAUAGAUAUCGCGCAGAACCCCGAUUGCGAAGGCAGCCUGCCGGCCCCACACUGACGCUGAGGCACGAAAGCGUGGGUAUCGAACAGG